rnacentral:misc_RNA from 1 species
AAACUGUUUACAAAUGGCGGAUUAAAUGAGAAGUUCACAAAAUGUAGAAAAGUUUUCAAUAGAAAUACGCGACUUUUUCGCUAUUAGUGAAGGGUCUCAUUAGUAAUAUUUUUCAGGAUAGAUAUUUUGGACGACAGAAGGCCAAAAAGAGUCACUAGCAGAAUGUCAUCCACCUUCGAUAUUGCUGGUACAACCAGCCGAGCCUCUCAGCUGCAGACCCAGGUCAGCAAAGAAGACCUGCUGAAAACUCUGGGAAACCAGCUGAAUAUGGACUUUUCCCAGUAUGAAAGAUGGACGCGGAAAACCAAAGUUACAAGACCACCACCUCCUCCCAAAGAUGGAGGAAGUAGAAUGCUGAUGGUUGGCAGAGUGAAGUCUGCCGAUUCUUGUCUUCAUGGCAAAGGCCAAGGCCAUAACGUAACCUACAGAGAGAAGAAAGAGGCUGCCAAGAUGUUAGAAAUUAACAAAGAAAGAAAUGAAAGGAUUAAAAUUCUCGAAUUAAGAAUAAGGACCAGGAAGAAGACUUUGGAUGAAUAUCUGAAGAGAAGCAGAGAACUCUUGGAACAAAAUAUGAAGCUAAAAGAAAGUAUUGAAAGUGAUGAAUAUGGGACAUUGAAUGCUGUCAAAGGAUUGCUAAGAAGAUAUGAGAAAUACAGGGUAAAAUCAAUAUGGAUGUGUCAUUUAAAAUAUGCAUUUCUCAUGCCAUGCAAAUAAAGAAUAAUCUCAGUUUAUUUCUGUGGUGGAAGACAAUCAAUUUUUUUUUUCAUUGACAGGGGGGUAUAACAACCUUAAACUCCAAUUUUGUGAAAGAAUAUGAUGCGGCAGUGAGAGACCUCGAGGAAACAAGACACAGAACAAAUUCACAACUUCAAGCUUUGGAAAAGAAAGUUUCUGAUCUAGAUGAUUCAUUAAAAGAAAAACAAGAAGAGUUGCAUACACUCAUGAGCUACAAAGACAAGGAGUAUCCUGUCAAAGCAAUGAGGAUAGCCACACUGCAGAAAGAAAUACAAAACCUUAAAAUAGCAAACCAGGAAGACCAAGAAGACCUAGAACACAUUGUAUUCACAGAAUUAGAGAAGUACGAGAAAGAGCAGACAAGAACGGCUAACAGCAUCACCAAAAGCAUUACAGAGAGAGCCAUUUCAAGAAUGCAUCCAAGUCUGAAGGAUAUGGCUCUUCAGAACUUAGUAAUGGCCAAGGAAAUAGAAGUUCAUAAAAAGGAACAGGAAGGACUGAUCAGAGUCAACCAAGCUCUUGAAGCAGAAGUUAAAAAACUACUGCGGGAUCCAAAAACCAACACACGCCUACAGAUGUUUCCAGAAUUCUUUCCCAGUAGACAAAAAUGCACACCGGACAUGGAAGUUGUUUUGGACAUUCCGACUCAAGAGUGGUUACCUAUAUAAACAUUUCCAAAAGACAGGUGCUACUAUUUGAGCAUUUAUUGGUCAAUUCCUCUCAACACGAACAGAGUUUGAUACUGUUUGCAGAUGGAAUCUGGAUAUUUGACUGUGGCAUGCUAAUUUGAUGUGAGAGAAUGGAACUUGUAUUAUACAAUGUAUAUGUGUACUCUUUGUAAAUGUAUUCAAAUGCUUGUUCCUCGUUUACAUUCUUUAUUAUAUAUGAAUUAGAUUUUGUUGAAGAUAUUUGGUUUGUAAAAAUCAAUAAUAAAAUCAAUAUGUUUUACAAGAC